GGUAGGCAACUCAACUUACGGAGAGCAUAUCUCUGAGGAAAGUCUGUCCACUAAAACUUUUGGGAAAAUUUUUAUCAAAGACGAAAGUCAAAAAUAAAACAAAUCUCAAAGAUGAAAUCGGCUGCUUAUACAAUAAGUCCAGGAAACUGGAGGCAACCGCUCAGAAACGAAACCACCUGCAUUUAGAAUGAUGGUUGUGAGUUUUUCCGUGAGGAGAAUCAGUUAACCACCUGACGUUUUUACAGGAAGGGUUGAAACGGCGAGUCCCUGCUAGUGCAAGUCCAUUACGGAUGCUUAGUAGAAUGUUGAGAGAACCAUUAGUGAAGGUCUUCAAGGCUGGAAGGUUCUACAGAAGACAGCUUACUGCCUGCC
rnacentral:RNase_P_RNA from 1 species